UAUAAAAGUACAUACUGCAAGCAACUUCAAAACAUGCAAGUGUGUCUUUUGUGUGUGUGUGUGUGUGUGUGUGUGCGUGCGUAAUUCGUGCCGUUUGAAGUGAGCCGGGUCCCCACUGUCAGAGCUGGCAAGAGAAGCAGUAUCGCAGGAAUGAGCAUCAAUAUUUUCAGUAUUCAGCACACACGUA